rnacentral:tRNA from 2 species
GGGUGAUUAGCUCAGCUGGGAGAGCCCUCCCUUACAAGGAGGGGGUCGGCGGUUCGAUCCCGUCAUCACCCACCA